GUUGACGGCGGACGGGUGAGUUACACGUGAUACCUACCUUAUAAGACUGGGAUACUUCGGGAAACCGGAGCUAUACGGAUAUAUUUGAACCGCAUGGUUCAAUAGUGAAAGACGGUUUUGCUGUCACUUAUAGAUGGAUCCGCGCCGCAUUAGCUAGUUGGUAAGGUAACGGCUUACCAAGGCAACGAUGCGUAGCCGACCUGAGAGGGUGAUCGGCCACACUGGAACUGAGACACGGUCCAGACUCCUACGGGAGGCAGCAGUAGGGAAUCUUCCGCAAUGGGCGAAAGCCUGACGGAGCAACGCCGCGUGAGUGAUGAAGGUCUUCGGAUCGUAAAACUCUGUUAUUAGGGAAGAACAAAUGUGUAGUACUAUGCACGUCUUGACGGUACCUAAUCAGAAAGCCACGGCUAACUACGUGCCGGCAGCCGCGGUAAUACGUAGGUGGCAAGCGUUAUCCGGAAUUAUUGGGCGUAAAGCGCGCGUAGGCGGGUUUUUUAAGUUCUGAUUGGUUGGAAGCCCCACGGCUCAACCCGGUGGGAGGGGUCUUGGGAAAACCUGGAAAAAACUUUGGAGUUGGCAAAAAGGGAAAAGUGGGAA
rnacentral:rRNA from 1 species